rnacentral:sRNA from 1 species
AAAUAAAAGCAGAAGCACCCGCUUCUCGCCUUAGUUGAUAAUGUCACUGGGCUAGAUAGUUUUCACUGGUUCUAUUAGGUGAAGUACGCGCGGGUUCUGUAAGAGAACUCGUUUUUUUAUUGCCGU